rnacentral:tRNA from 1 species
CGGGGACUAGCUCAGUCCGGUUAGAGCGCUCGCUUUGGGAGCGAGAGGUCCGCGGUUCGAAUCCGCGGUCCCCGACCA